rnacentral:rRNA from 1 species
AUACGCCCUACGGGGGAAAAAUUUAUUGCUAUUAGAUGAGCCUAUAUUAGAUUAGCUAGUUGGUGGGGUAAUAGCCUACCAAGGUAAUGAUCUAUAGCUGAUCUGAGAGGAUGAUCAGCCACACUGGAACUGAGAUACGGUCCAGACUCCUACGGGAGGCAGCAGUGGGGAAUAUUGGACAAUGGGCGAAAGCCUGAUCCAGCCAUGCCGCAUGAGUGAAGAAGGCCUUUGGGUUGUAAAGCUCUUUUAGUGAGGAAGAUAAUGACGGUACUCACAGAAGAAGUCCUGGCUAACUCCGUGCCAGCAGCCGCGGUAAUACGGAGAGGGCUAGCGUUAUUCGGAAUUAUUGGGCGUAAAGGGCGCGUAGGCUGGUUAAUAAGUUAAAAGUGAAAUCCCGAGGCUUAACCUUGGAAUUGCUUUUAAAACUAUUAAUCUAGAGAUUGAAAGAGGAUAGAGGAAUUCCUGAUGUAGAGGUAAAAUUCGUAAAUAUUAGGAGGAACACCAGUGGCGAAGGCGUCUAUCUGGUUCAAAUCUGACGCUGAAGCGCGAAGGCGUGGGGAGCAAACAGGAUUAGAUACCCUGGUAGUCCACGCUGUAAACGAUGAAUGUUAAAUAUGGGGAGUUUACUUUCUGUAUUACAGCUAACGCGUUAAACAUUCCGCCUGGGGGACUACGGUCGCAAGAAUUAAAACC